ACUUAAAUUGAAGAGUUUGAUCAUGGCUCAGAUUGAACGCUGGCGGCAGGCCUAACACAUGCAAGUCGAGCGGUAGCACAGAGAGCUUGCUCUCGGGUGACGAGCGG
rnacentral:rRNA from 1 species